GACGAACGCUGGCGGCGUGCCUAAUACAUGCAAGUAGAACGCAGUUGCGAACGGGUGAGUGACGCGUAGGUAACUGCCUGGUAGCGGGGGGUAACUAUUGGAAACGAUAGCUAAUAACGCAUACUACCAGAUGGACCUGCGUUGUAUUAGCUGGUUGGUGGGGUAACGGCUCACCAAGGCAACGAUACAUAGCCGACCUGAGAGGGUGAUCGGCCACACUGGGACUGAGACACGGCCCAGACUCCUACGGGAGGCAGCAGUAGGGAAUCUUCGGCAAUGGACGGAAGCCUGACCGAGCAACGCCGCGUGAGUGAAGAAGGUUUUCGGAUCGUAAAACUCUGUUGUUAGAGAAGCGUUAUCUAACCAGAAAGCCACGGCUAACUACGUGCCAGCAGCCGCGGUAAUAC
rnacentral:rRNA from 1 species